rnacentral:tRNA from 1 species
GCGGAAGUAGCUCAAUGGUAGAGCCUUCGAUUGCGAAGAGACCUGGGUUCGAUUCCCGGUUGCUUCC